rnacentral:rRNA from 1 species
UACGUAGGGAGCAAGCGUUGUCCGGAAUCAUUGGGCGUAAAGCGCGCGUAGGCGCCCUGUAAGUCCGUUGUGAAAGUCAAAGGCUCAACCUUUGAAAGCCGAUGGAUACUGCAGGGCUAGAGUCCGGGAAGAGGCGAGUGGAAUUCCUGGUGUAGCCGGUGGAAUGCGCAGAUAUCAGGAGGAACACCAAUAGCGAAGGCAGCUCGCUGGGACGGUACUGACGCUAAGGCGCGAAGCGUGGGAGGCGAGAGG